UUCUUCACUAUAAAAGUAAUGAAGAAAGGAAGACAAUUCUGAGCAGUGGGAUACCAACAGUCCAGCUAAAUAGCAAACACCAACCAUGAAUCAGUAGUGGCACAAUCCAGCAGAGACAGCAAGGCUCCACUGAGUCAGCACGAGUUAGCGGAAGCAGCAAGAAACAGCCGCAAUACCACAAGAAGAGUGUUUCUCUCUAGGAAGUGAAGUCCAAUGAAGCAUUGCACAGCCAGUGAAGGCCAGUGAAGUGUUACAUGGCCAGCAAAGACCAGCAAGGGCUGGCAAAAACCAGCAAGGCGUGGCAAUACAAAAGUGUCCUCUCUGUCUGUGGGGUUCUAGUUAUCUUAUUUUAAACAUCACACACACUCUUAAGAUCCUGUUUUCAGCAACACACCACAUGCUUUCUUUCAAGAUAGCUUCUGGAAAACAUCAUGAUGGACAACUGAAUUUUUAAAUAAACCAGAAACUUCCACCGCAGGAUGCACUAGAAAGUGGGAGUUCCUGGAGCCUCAUUUUAAGGACUUGAACUACAGUUUCAGGGAAUCGCACAGAUCCCUCAUACUCCUGC
ensembl:processed_transcript